rnacentral:rRNA from 1 species
ACUACGGGUGGCAGCAGUGAGGAAUAUUGGUCAAUGGCCGGAAGGCUGAACCAGCCAUGCCGCGUGAAGGUCAGUGCCCUAUGGGCGUUAAACUUCUUUUGUGCGGGAGCAAUAAUGGUCACGUGUGGCCAGACGAGAGUACCGUACGAAUAAGCAUCGGCUAACUCCGUGCCGGCAGCCGCGGUAAUACGGGGGGUGCAAGCGUUAUCCGGACUUUUUGGGUUUAAAGGGUGGGUAGGCGGUGAUGUAAGUCAGCGGUGAAAAGCCCCCGGUCAACGGGGUGAAGAGCCAUUGAUACUGGCUUGCUGGAGUGCGGAUGCGGUGGGAGGAAUGUGUGGUGUAGCGGUGAAAUGCAUAGAUAUCACACAGAACACCGAUUGCGAAGGCAUCUCACGAAUCCGCGAUUGACGCUGAUGCACGAAAGCGUGGGUAUCAAACAGGAUUAGAUACCCCUGUAGUC